UUGAAUGAAAGAUGAGCUUACUUGCUACUAGGGUUUCCGAAAAAUUACAGGCAUUUGGAUACCGUCACUCAAACAUUCUUUGCCCUUACUUCUAAAGAUGCAAAACUAAAAGGUUUUUAUUCUUUCAUUCUUGAAUUA